CAACUACUCCCUCCGUCCGAAAAUACUUGUCAUUAAAAUGGACAAAAAGGGAUGUAUCUAGAACUAAAAUACAUCUAGAUACAUCCCCUUUAUUCAUUUUGGUGACAAGUAUUUCCAGAGGGAGUAUAAA
rfam:Triticum aestivum genome assembly, contig: Triticum_aestivum_CS42_TGACv1_scaffold_221884_3B